AACUAAAAAGUACAUCUACAUUUCACUUACACUGAAAUAUUCCUAAUUUAUUUU
rnacentral:tRNA from 1 species